CGCGCAGGGAGAGUCGGAGACCGGCGCCUCUGCUCAGUCCUGCUCCUCCGGCGUCCGCGUGCGGCUCUCACUUCGGUCCGAGGAUGUGAGAAAUCCACUUUCCCGGCCUUCUCUACAGCCACAGCCUGAUUUUCCAACAAAAGGAAAGCCUCUCAGGCCCCUUGGGAUGAAAAGGCAGGUAUCUGGGAAAGGAAGAAUUUUAAGUGCAUCGGCGUGGAAUUUCUUGCAGGGACUGUAAUCUAGAAUUCAACUGUGCACCCAUCUCGAGGAGCAGGAGGAUUCUGCCUUCUGACGAGGGCCGUCCACCACAAUCCCAGCACCGAGGCAG